rnacentral:rRNA from 1 species
UCGAACGGUAACAGGUCUUCGGAUGCUGACUAGUGGCGGACGGGUGAGUAAUGCGUAGGAAUCUGUCUUUUAGUGGGGGACAACCCAGGGAAACUUGGGCUAAUACCGCAUGAGCCCUGAGGGGGAAAGCGGGGGAUCUUCGGACCUCGCGCUAAGGGAGGAGCCUACGUCUGAUUAGCUAGUUGGUAGGGUAAAGGCCUACCAAGGCGACGAUCAGUAGCUGGUCUGAGAGGACGACCAGCCACACUGGGACUGAGACACGGCCCAGACUCCUACGGGAGGCAGCAGUGGGGAAUUUUUCGCAAUGGGGGCAACCCUGACGAAGCAAUGCCGCGUGGAUGAAGAAGGCCUUCGGGUUGUAAAGUCCUUUCGUGGAGGACGAAAAGGCGGGUUCUAAUACAAUCUGCUGUUGACGUGAAUCCAAGAAGAAGCACCGGCUAACUCCGUGCCAGCAGCCGCGGUAAUACGGGGGGUGCAAGCGUUAAUCGGAAUCACUGGGCGUAAAGGGUGCGUAGGCGGUACGUUAGGUCUGUCGUGAAAUCCCCGGGCUCAACCUGGGAAUGGCGGUGGAAACCGGCGGACUAGAGUAUGGGAGAGGGUGGUGGAAUUCCAGGUGUAGCGGUGAAAUGCGUAGAGAUCUGGAGGAACAUCAGUGGCGAAGGCGGCCACCUGGCCCAAUACUGACGCUGAGGCACGAAAGCGUGGGGAGCAAACAGGAUUAGAUACCCUGGUAGUCCACGCUCUAGACGAUGAAUACUAGAUGUUUGGUGCCACGCGUACUGAGUGUCGUAGCUUACGCGAUAAGUAUUCCGCCUGGGAAGUACGGCCGCAAGGUUAAAACUCAGAGGAAUUGACGGGGGCCCGCACAAGCGGUGGAGCAUGUGGUUUAAUUCGAUGCAACGCGAAGAACCUUACCUGGGCUUGACAUGUCCGGAAAUCUGCAGAGAUGCGGGAGUGCCCUUCGGGAAUCGGAAACAGUGCUGCAUGCUGUCGUCAGCUCGGUCGGGGAAGUGGGUUAAGUCCCGCACGAGGCCACCCUGGUCUAGUUGCAGCGGUGGGCGGGCAUCUAGGGAAAUGCCGGUAAAAACCGAGAAAGGGGGAA